rnacentral:rRNA from 1 species
AGUGAACGCUGGCGGCAUGCCUAACACAUGCAAGUCGAACGGCAGCACAUUAUUAGCUUGCUCUACCGGUGGGCGAGUGGCGGACGCGUGAGGAAGACAUCGGAACCUACUUUUUCGUGGGGGAUAACGAAGCGAAACGUACGCGAAUACCGCAUACGACCUACGGGUGAAAGCACGGGAUCUUCGGACCUUGCGCGAUUGAAUGAGCCGAUGUCGGAUUGGCUAGUUGGCGGGGUAAAGGCCCACCAAGGCGACGAUCCGUAGCUGGUCUGAGAGGAUGAUCAGCCACAGUGCAACUGAGACACGGUCCAGACUCCUACGGGAGGCAGCAGUGGGGAAUAUUGGACAGUGGGCGCAAGCAUGAUCCAGCAAUACCGCGUGGGUGAAGAAGGCCUUCGGGUUGUAAAGCCCUUUUGUUGGGAAAGAAAAGCAGCAGGUUACUACGACGCUGUAAUGACGGUACCCAAAGAAUAAGCACCGGCUAACUUCGUG